rnacentral:rRNA from 3 species
AGACCCGAAACCCGGUGAUCUAGCCAUGGGCAGGUUGAAGGUUGGGUAACACUAACUGGAGGACCGAACCGACUAAUGUUGAAAAAUUAGCGGAUGACCUGUGGCUGGGGGUGAAAGGCCAAUCAAACCGGGAGAUAGCUGGUUCUCCCCGAAAGCUAUUUAGGUAGCGCCUCGUGAAUUCAUCUCCGGGGGUAGAGCACUGUUUCGGCUAGGGGGCCAUCCCGGCUUACCAACCCGAUGCAAACUGCGAAUACCGGAGAAUGUUAUCACGGGAGACACACGGCGGGUGCUAACGUCCGUCGUGAAGAGGGAAACAACCCAGACCGCCAGCUAAGGUCCCAAAGUCAUGGUUAAGUGGGAAACGAUGUGGGAAGGCCCAGACAGCCAGGAUGUUGGCUUAGAAGCAGCCAUCAUUUAAAGAAAGCGUAAUAGCUCACUGGUCGAGUCGGCCUGCGCGGAAGAUGUAACGGGGCUAAACCAUGCACCGAAGCUGCGGCAGCGAACGUAUCACCCAAGACAACUUUACGGAGUUGACGAUUGACGGAGCGAAGCGACGUCAAAGCGUUCAUUAAAGUCGAGUUGGCUUAGGGAUACGUUCGUUGGGUAGGGGAGCGUUCUGUAAGCCUGUGAAGGUGUGUCGUGAGGCAUGCUGGAGGUAUCAGAAGUGCGAAUGCUGACAUAAGUAACGAUAAAGCGGGUGAAAAGCCCGCUCGCCGGAAGACCAAGGGUUCCUGUCCAACGUUAAUCGGGGCAGGGUGAGUCGACCCCUAAGGCGAGGCCGAAAGGCGUAGUCGAUGGGAAACGGGUUAAUAUUCCCGUACUUGGUGUUACUGCGAAGGGGGGACGGAGAAGGCUAUGUUGGCCGGGCGACGGUUGUCCCGGUUUAAGCGUGUAGGUGUGUGUUCCAGGUAAAUCCGGUUCACUUUAACACUGAGGCGUGAUGACGAGGCACUACGGUGCUGAAGCAACAAAUGCCCUGCUUCCAGGAAAAGCCUCUAAGC